UGCGUAGGUGGGUCUGUAAGUCAGUGGUGAAAUCUCCGGGCUUAACUCGGAAACUGCCAUUGAUACUAUAGGUCUUGAAUUAUCUGGAGGUGAGCGGAAUAUGUCAUGUAGCGGUGAAAUGCUUAGAUAUGACAUAGAACACCAAUUGCGAAGGCAGCUCACUACGGAUAUAUUGACACUGAGGCACGAAAGCGUGGGGAUCAAACAGGAUUAGAUACCCUGGUAGUCCACGCCCUAAACGAUGGAUACUCGACAUACGCGAUACACUGUGUGUGUCUGAGCGAAAGCAUUAAGUAUCCCACCUGGGAAGUACGAUCGCAAGAUUGAA
rnacentral:rRNA from 1 species